ACCAUCACAGCAAAGCUACAGACACCUGCAGAACUCGGUCCUGUGUUGGACCCUGAUGACCUGAGCCCAGAGCUCAAACAGGCCUUGGAGCAGUGGCUCGCUGGGCGUAUCAAGGAGUACGAUAUGAUCCGGCUGUUGGACCAACGCUGCUCCUCAGACUGUGGACGACCCGUUGCCGACAAAAUGCCCGAUUUUGCCCUGGAGUCUCUCGGUGCUCAUGUGGUCAGACA